rnacentral:rRNA from 1 species
GGACACACCCGUUCCCAUUCCGAACACGGAAGUUAAGCUUCGCAGUGCCGAUGAUACUUGGGGGGCGACCCCCUGGGAAAGUAGGUCGCUGCCGGAU